UACGAAGGGGGCUAGCGUUGCUCGGAAUUACUGGGCGUAAAGCGCACGUAGGCGGUCUUUUAAGUCGGGGGUGAAAUCCUGGAGCUCAACUCCAGAACUGCCUUCGAUACUGGAAGACUUGAGUUCGGGAGAGGUGAGUGGAACUGCGAGUGUAGAGGUGAAAUUCGUAGAUAUUCGCAAGAACACCAGUGGCGAAGGCGGCUCACUGGCCCGAUACUGACGCUGAGGUGCGAAAGCGUGGGGAGCAAACAGG
rnacentral:rRNA from 1 species